rnacentral:rRNA from 1 species
CGGGUGGCUGCAGUGAGGAAUAUUGGUCAAUGGGCGCGAGCCUGAACCAGCCAAGUAGCGUGAAGGAUGACUGCCCUACGGGUUGUAAACUUCUUUUAUAAAGGAAUAAAGUGAGGCACGUGUGCCUUUUUGUAUGUACUUUAUGAAUAAGGAUCGGCUAACUCCGUGCCAGCAGCCGCGGUAAUACGGAGGAUCCGAGCGUUAUCCGGAUUUAUUGGGUUUAAAGGGAGCGUAGAUGGGUUGUUAAGUCAGUUGUGAAAGUUUGCGGCUCAACCGGAAAAUUGCAAUUGAUACUGGCAGUCUUGAGUACAGUUGAGGUAGGCGGAAUUCGUGGUGUAGCGGUGAAAUGCUUAGAUAUCACGAAGAACUCCGAUUGCGAAGGCAGCUUACUAAACUGCCACUGACAUUGAUGCUCGAAAGUGUGGGUAUCAAACAGGAUUAGAUACCCUUGUAGUC